CUGCCAGCUCGUCAGAUAGGCCCCAACGGAUGCUGCAGAUAGCCUGAGCCGCUGCAGACGCUUGGACUGGAACGUUUCACACGCUCUCACAAGAGCACACAUGCUGUACCAUCAUGAAGUAAUGUGUCACGUGUUGCUGUCUUCACAGAUGACAGCUUUUGAUCUGCAGCCUCUGUACAUAC